UGAUUAUUGAGGGAUUACUUCAAUUGAUGAUGAAUUCCACCCUCUCACGAACCCCCAAUCUUAAGCGAAAGGGCAGUCUGGGAGACAUGCUCCCUAUUCGUUCUAAUCGAUAUUCUUCGUAUAUUAUAGUUUUACAACAUCGUUCCAAAGAGCAACUUGAGAUUAACAAACAAUCAUCAUCCAUACAACUCCCUAAUGCACAGGGAUAGUAGUAAACGAGCACCCUAGGCAAUUAAUGGAUGGCAGCAAAACCAAGACAGCCAUUUCAAAUGAGAUACUAAUGCUAAACCAAAAGCAAAGUUUCAAUCACACUGACCUAAUGUACAAUUAAAUAACCACAAACGUGGCGAGUCAAGUUUAAAGUUGCACCAAGACAACACCGCCGCCCCCACCCCCA
rnacentral:misc_RNA from 1 species